UUAUGGCUUCUUCGUGUGUCCCCCCCAAAAAAUGGCGGCCGAACCUGAGAGAUUUGUGUUAUUGGAGUUGGAGCUGAUAAAUACUGAACAACAGUCACUUUUAUUAAAAUUAUUGCGACGCAGGAAAGAGAAGAGACAUCGGAGGAGACGGGGAGUUCGACGGGAGGGUGCUCUGUGGGAGUGGCAUCGGAACAAAACUAAUCUGGUGUUCGCAAAAAAAAUUCAAGGAGCCGAAGAACCAGUUUUUUAACCAGUGGAGCUGAACGAACAAACAAAAAAACAAAGGACGUGAAUCUUGUGAUUUCACUCUGCGAUGAAGGAGGAGAAGCUGAAGUCCAAACUACUACAGAAGACUGGAGCAGGACUGGAUGUGGACCAGGUGGUCAGAGUGCUGCUGUCGUCCAGCAGGAGGCAGUAUGAGUCCACAGCAGGAUCAGCCUCUGUGGUGUUUCUCCUCCUGGCAUCUGACAACAUCAUGGAGAGGAUUCCUACAGACAGAGCUUUUUAUUAAAGAGGAGGAUCCAGAAACAUCACUUUAUAUCAGUACCAGACUCCAUUAACAUAAACAGGGAUUUAACCAGGA